rnacentral:rRNA from 1 species
GAUGAACGCUGGCGGCGUGCCUAAUACAUGCAAGUCGAGCGAACAGACGAGGAGCUUGCUCCUUUGACGUUAGCGGCGGACGGGUGAGUAACACGUGGGUAACCUACCUAUAAGACUGGGAUAACUUCGGGAAACCGGAGCUAAUACCGGAUAAUAUUUCGAACCGCAUGGUUCGAUAGUGAAAGAUGGCUUUGCUAUCACUUAUAGAUGGACCUGCGCCGUAUUAGCUAGUUGGUAAGGUAACGGCUUACCAAGGCAACGAUACGUAGCCGACCGGAGAGGGUGAUCGGCCACACUGGAGCUGAGACACGGUCCAGACUCCUACGGGAGGCAGCAGUAGGGAAUCUGCCGCAAUGGGCGAAAGCCUGACGGAGCAACGCCGCGUGAGUGAUGAAGGUCUUCGGAUCGUAAAACUCUGUUAUUAGGGAAGAACAAACGUGUAAGUAACUGUGCACGUCUUGACGGUACCUAAUCAGAAAGCCACGGCUAACUACGUG